rnacentral:rRNA from 1 species
AGUGAACGCUGGCGGUAGGCCUAACACAUGCAAGUCGAACGGCAGCACAGUAAGAGCUUGCUCUUACGGGUGGCGAGUGGCGGACGGGUGAGGAAUACAUCGGAAUCUACUUUUUCGUGGGGGAUAACGUAGGGAAACUUACGCUAAUACCGCAUACGACCUACGGGUGAAAGCAGGGGAUCUUCGGACCUUGCGCGAUUGAAUGAGCCGAUGUCGGAUUAGCUAGUUGGCAGGGUAAAGGCCCACCAAGGCGACGAUCCGUAGCUGGUCUGAGAGGAUGAUCAGCCGCACUGGAACUGAGACACGGUCCAGACUCCUACGGGAGGCAGCAGUGGGGAAUAUUGGACAAUGGGCGCAAGCCUGAUCCAGCCAUACCGCGUGGGUGAAGAAGGCCUUCGGGUUGUAAAGCCCUUUUGUUGGGAAAGAAAAGCAGCAGGUUAAUACCCCGCUGUUCUGACGGUACCCAAAGAAUAAGCACCGGCUAACUUCGUG